rnacentral:rRNA from 1 species
AAUAAGGAUCGGCUAACUCCGUGCCAGCAGCCGCGGUAAUACGGAGGAUCCAAGCGUUAUCCGGAUUUACUGGGUUUAAAGGGUGCGUAGGCGGGCGCUUAAGUCAGCGGUGAAAGGCAGCGGCUCAGCCGUUGAAUUGCCGUUGAAACUGGGCGCCUUGGAUUCGGUCGAGGCCGGCGGAAUGCGUGGUGUAGCGGUGAAAUGCUUAGAUAUCACGCGGAACGCCGAUUGCGAAGGCAGCUGGCCAGACCGAGAUCGACGCUGAGGCACGAAAGCGUGGGGAUCAAACAGGAUUAGAUACCCUGGUAGUCCACGCCGUAAACGAUGAUCACUGGAUGCCGGCGAUACACCGUCGGUGUCUGAGCGAAAGCAUUAAGUGAUCCACCUGGGGAGUACGAUCGCAAGGUUGAAACUCGAAGGAAUUGACGGGGGCCCGCACAGGCGGAGGAACAUGUGGUUUAAUUCGAUGAUACGCGAGGAACCUUACCUGGGCUAGAACGCCGAGCGCAUAUGGGGGAAACCCCAUAGCCAGCAAUGGCGGUCGGCGAGGUGCUGCAUGGUUGUCGUCAGCUCGUGCCGUGAGGUGUCGGGUUAAGUCCCAUAACGAGCGCAACCCCUACUGUUAGUUGCCAGCGGAUCAUGCCGGGGACUCUAACGGAACUGCCAGCGUAAGCUGUGAGGAAGGUGGGGAUGACGUCAAAUCAGCACGGCCCUUACGUCCAGGGCUACACACGUGUUACAAUGGCCGGUACGGAGGGCAGCCACCCCGCGAGGGGGCGCGAAUCCUCAAAGCCGGUCCCAGUUCGGAUCGGAGUCUGCAACCCGACUCCGUGAAGCUGGAUUCGCUAGUAAUCGCGCAUCAGCCACGGCGCGGUGAAUACGUUCCCGGGCCUUGUACACACCGCCCGU